UACAUAUUUACCUAGGCGGUAGCUAGGAGUUACGCUGGUGUUGAUUUGCACAUUUAUUAAAAUUAUUAAAUGUAUUGUAUUUCGUUGAGACUUAAUUUUUUUCGAUUUUAUUCCAAGGGAGUCAACGGUUAAAUGUCUAUAAGUUUAUAAUAAUAAUAAACUUUUUCAUAAAGGAAAGCUAACCAGGAAAGUUGUAGAUACAAGUUAGGUUAGGAUUGAGAUAGACUACAUUGGGUUUGACGAUCAAACAUUAGAGGGUAGGUAACACGAAUACAAGAAUAAAUUAAUGCUGUUAAGGUCAAGUAGCUCAAGUAGUUUACGAAAUACUAAUGCAUCAGGGCCAAAUACGGGAUUAUAAACAAAAAAAAAAAAAAAAACAAUUAUGCCAAAUGCCAAAUUUUAAAUACCAAAUACCGAUACUGGAUUGAAAAAAAUGUAAUCCUAACAACACUUAGGAUUUGGUUCUAAAGUUAUACCUGUCAACAAUAUAUAAAUAUAGCGUGCAGCGUCAUUGCUAAUGCAGUUACUGAUGGUCUUUAAACGGUUGAAAAUCCCGGGCCCACGCGUCUGAUUUGUUUGUGCUUAUCUCGCGCGCUUACGAUUUGGUAACAAACAGCGUAACGAUGCCUUGUCGCUUUACAAAUAAUUUGUGGUUUCAAUUAUAUAUCCAGAAAUGUUAACUUUCACAGUUAUGGUUUACACCCACAAAAUUCUAUAUAAAAUUGCACUCACCGUUCGCAUUAUCCUGCACCAUUGUGGCAGCACGUGACAGUACAUCCAAUGCAGUUUCCAUGAUGAGAAGCGCCUUUUCUUUCAAUAUCAGCUACUUUUGACGAUAGCAACAAAACGGCGUUCAAUGUCAACUUUGGGAAAUUCUUAUACACUGUUUGCACUUUAACAAUUUUUUUAAACAAUUUUCACAAUUUCUUCUAACUAUGUUCACAUGCCAACAACAAUUUUGUUUUGUUAUUCAAAUAGGCUACACUUCAUAAAACACACACACGAACACUAUAGAGACACUGUAAAAUUUUACAAAAUAUAAAUAAAUAUGCAAAAAUUUAUACAAAAAUAUUUAAAAAGUUUGCGCAAUUUUCGAGUUUCACUUUUAAUUGCUUUGUAUUUGAAUGUGCGACUCUGCAAGGGCGCACACACACAACGACUACACGCGAAGCGAAGCAAAAAGAUCACGAAAUUGCAACAAAUUCAAUACGCUUGCCAAACGCAACUGACAAGCGCUAAAGAUGCGCGUGUGCGUAACCAAAGGCAAUACGAAGAAAAUAAGCGCGCACUAACAGACACGCACGCACACUGGCGCGCGUAAAUAAUUUAAACGCAAAGUGUACAAAAGUCCAAGAUAGCCGUGACUGCUGCGCCAACAGCGACGACGUGUUGUCUGCGCAACCAAGCGCGUUGAAAAUAAAUGUGCCCCUACAAACACCCACACAUAUAUGGCAUAUAUUUAUGGUAAAUAUGUGUAAUAAGUAUAAAUGCGCGUACGAAAUCAACAAAGUUAUUGGCAACGAGAAUGGCGACAACAACAAUAACAACAUUGACAGCCACAGCUGUGCGAAAAUUCGCAAGGUGGUUUCUCGCUUCACGGCGCGCGGGUGGUGUACCCUCACACACACACGCACAAAGAAAUAUGCUUUAUAAAAUUAAAAUCAAUGAGAAAUGAAAAAUCUUAAGCAAGAACAAAACACUGUGACAUUUAUUUCGCAAAGUAACGGUUAUGGUUAUGUUUCGAGAGAUGAGUUUGAGUGCAAAAAUGCUGAAAGGGUUGUAGGCGACGUUGGUGAUAAUGUUGCCAACAGCUGAAAAAGAAGAAAUGGAAAAUUAACGAUAAUUUAUUGAAAUAUGUGCUUUUUAAACUUAUUGUUAUUGUUAUUAUGUAUGUAUUUGUAGACAAAUAUUUGUCAGCGUGUCAAUGGUUGUUUCGAAUAAAUUAAAUCUUAAAAAUAAUUAUUUUUUAAUACUGUUUUA